GUCGAGCGAAUGGAUUAAGAGCUUGCUCUUAUGAAGUUAGCGGCGGACGGGUGAGUAACACGUGGGUAACCUGCCCAUAAGACUGGGAUAACUCCGGGAAACCGGGGCUAAUACCGGAUAACAUUUUGAACCGCAUGGUUCGAAAUUGAAAGGCGGCUUCGGCUGUCACUUAUGGAUGGACCCGCGUCGCAUUAGCUAGUUGGUGAGGUAACGGCUCACCAAGGCAACGAUGCGUAGCCGACCUGAGAGGGUGAUCGGCCACACUGGGACUGAGACACGGCCCAGACUCCUACGGGAGGCAGCAGUAGGGAAUCUUCCGCAAUGGACGAAAGUCUGACGGAGCAACGCCGCGUGAGUGAUGAAGGCUUUCGGGUCGUAAAACUCUGUUGUUAGGGAAGAACAAGUGCUAGUUGAAUAAGCUGGCACCUUGACGGUACCUAACCAGAAAGCCACGGCUAACUACGUGCCAGCAGCCGCGGUAAUACGUAGGUGGCAAGCGUUAUCCGGAAUUAUUGGGCGUAAAGCGCGCGCAGGUGGUUUCUUAAGUCUGAUGUGAAAGCCCACGGCUCAACCGUGGAGGGUCAUUGGAAACUGGGAGACUUGAGUGCAGAAGAGGAAAGUGGAAUUCCAUGUGUAGCGGUGAAAUGCGUAGAGAUAUGGAGGAACACCAGUGGCGAAGGCGACUUUCUGGUCUGUAACUGACACUGAGGCGCGAAAGCGUGGGGAGCAAACAG
rnacentral:rRNA from 1 species